AGGUGGCAUAGCCAAGUGGUAAGGCGGGAGCCUGCAAAGCUCUUAUUCCUCAGUUCGAAUCUGAGUGCCACCUU
rnacentral:tRNA from 1 species